rnacentral:rRNA from 1 species
GAUGAACGCUGGCGGCGUGCCUAAUACAUGCAAGUCGAGCGAACGGACGAGAAGCUUGCUUCUCUGAUGUUAGCGGCGGACGGGUGAGUAACACGUGGAUAACCUACCUAUAAGACUGGGAUAACUUCGGGAAACCGGAGCUAAUACCGGAUAAUAUUUUGAACCGCAUGGUUCAAAAGUGAAAGACGGUCUUGCUGUCACUUAUAGAUGGAUCCGCGCUGCAUUAGCUAGUUGGUAAGGUAACGGCUUACCAAGGCAACGAUGCAUAGCCGACCUGAGAGGGUGAUCGGCCACACUGGAACUGAGACACGGUCCAGACUCCUACGGGAGGCAGCAGUAGGGAAUCUUCCGCAAUGGGCGAAAGCCUGACGGAGCAACGCCGCGUGAGUGAUGAAGGUCUUCGGAUCGUAAAACUCUGUUAUUAGGGAAGAACAUAUGUGUAAGUAACUGUGCACAUCUUGACGGUACCUAAUCAGAAAGCCACGGCUAACUACGUGCCAGCAGCCGCGGUAAUACGUAGGUGGCAAGCGUUAUCCGGAAUUAUUGGGCGUAAAGCGCGCGUANGCGGUUUUUUAAGUCUGAUGUGAAAGCCCACGGCUNCACCGUGGAGGGUCAUUGGAAAACUGGAAACUUGAGUGCAGAGAGAAGAAAGUGGAAUUCCAUGUGUAGCGGUGAAAUGCGCAGAGAUAUGGAGGAACACCAGUGGCGAAGGCGACUUUCUGGUCUGUAACUGACGCUGAUGUGCGAAAGCGUGGGGAUCAAACAGGAUUAGAUACCCUGGUAGUCCACGCCGUAAACGAUGAGUGCUAAGUGUUAGGGGGUUUCCGCCCCUUAGUGCUGCAGCUAACGCAUUAAGCACUCCGCCUGGGGAGUGCGACCGCAAGGUUGAAACUCAAAGGAAUUGACGGGGACCCGCACAAGCGGUGGAGCAUGUGGUUUAAUUCGAAGCAACGCGAAGAACCUUACCAAAUCUUGACAUCCUUUGACAACUCUAGAGAUAGAGCCUUCCCCUUCGGGGGACAAAGUGACAGGUGGUGCAUGGUUGUCGUCAGCUCGUGUCGUGAGAUGUUGGGUUAAGUCCCGCAACGAGCGCAACCCUUAAGCUUAGUUGCCAUCAUUAAGUUGGGCACUCUAAGUUGACUGCCGGUGACAAACCGGAGGAAGGUGGGGAUGACGUCAAAUCAUCAUGCCCCUUAUGAUUUGGGCUACACACGUGCUACAAUGGACAAUACAAAGGGCAGCGAAACCGCGAGGUCAAGCAAAUCCCAUAAAGUUGUUCUCAGUUCGGAUUGUAGUCUGCAACUCGACUACAUGAAGCUGGAAUCGCUAGUAAUCGUAGAUCAGCAUGCUACGGUGAAUACGUUCCCGGGUCU